CAAAGGAGAGAUCCGGUACCGGCUGGGCAUGCGGCGCAUUAGCUAGUUGGCGGGGCAACGGCCCACCAAGGCGACGAUGCGUAGGGGUUCUGAGAGGAAGGUCCCCCACACUGGAACUGAGACACGGUCCAGACUCCUACGGGAGGCAGCAGUGAGGAAUAUUGGUCAAUGGGCGCAAGCCUGAACCAGCCAAGUCGCGUGAGGGAAGACGGCCCUACGGGUUGUAAACCUCUUUUGCCGGGGAGCAAGCCUGAGCACGUGUGCCCAGGCGGAGAGUACCCGGAGAAAAAGCAUCGGCUAACUCCGUGCCAGCAGCCGCGGUAAUACGGAGGAUGCGAGCGUUAUCCGGAUUUAUUGGGUUUAAAGGGUGCGCAGGCGGGCUGUUAAGCCGGCGGUAAAAAUUCAGGGCUCAACCCUGUCGAGCCGUCGGAACUGGCAGUCUUGAGUGGGCGAGAAGUAUGCGGAAUGCGUGGUGUAGCGGUGAAAUGCAUAGAUAUCACGCAGAACGCCGAUUGCGAAGGCAGCAUACCGGCGCCCAACUGACGCUGAGGCACGAAAGCGUGGGGAUCGAACAGGCUUAGAUACCCUGGUAGUCCACGCAGUAAACGAUGAGCGCUAACUGUCCGGAGCGAGCGAGCUCUGG
rnacentral:rRNA from 1 species